rnacentral:misc_RNA from 1 species
CUUUUAAACCAGCUGUUCUUUUAACGAAGACCGGAUUUUUUCGGGGAACAAGAAACGGAGGGAGAAAGUUGAUAUCUCCACACCCGUCGUGAACCUCUGUGCAUUUUCUCCGUACACAUGCUGUUCGGCGAUUUCUGAUAAGUCUGUCCCACUGCCACUCACAAUAGGGGAGAUGCUGCAUCAUAUUCCUCGUCUAUCUGGCAUAAUACAAGUGAGAGAAUAAUUACCGUACACUAAUAUCAAAGCAAGGAAGAACAACGAAACAUUCACUGUUUCUAUUUUUUUUAAAAAUAGGACUGGUGUAUUUCUAUUGGAGCGUGUAUAAUCUCCUGAUCCUUGGGGCGAAUAACAAAAUCACGCAUCUCGACAUUGUGUGUAUUUUAUUUUUAUUAAACGAGUGAACAGGAUUUGCAUUGAGUGGACAAUAUGGCACAAGUAGAGCUUCCCGCUGGUGCCAAAGUCAAGCUCAACGUUAAAUCGGGGCGGAGUCACAAGUUUGACACUUUACUGGAGUAUACUAUUUGAUUUAUUUAUUUGUGAAAAAGAAAACUUUUUGAAUUGUGAAACUUUGUGCUUUUGCGUAACGGUGCCAUGUUUGGAGAAUGUAUUUUCUGUGUUGUGUAUAUUAUUUAAAUUAAAAUUUGGUAAAAAUU